rnacentral:lncRNA from 10 species
UCAGGGUCGUAGUUCUUUUUUUCCCCACACUGCAUGGCAAUAUCUCACAUUCUCAGCAAGGGACCUGAGCACUUCCGUGGGGUACUGCACUGUGCUGGUGAAGAACCCACGAACUCCUCUGUCUUGCAUGCAGGGCUAGUUCAAGGCUGACUGGGCCUCCAGUCUGUGUUCUGUCUGCCUUUCUCACUCUUUCAUUGAUGACCAGUGUUUUGAUGCUCAGGGUCUCUCCAGGAAUCACAUAUACUCGUCCAUUCUAAGGAGUUAAUGGUUUCCUUUUGGAAUCUCUUCCAGAGUACAGCACUUAGUAUAAGGUCUCAGGAAAAGCAACUAAUAGCAGACUUUUAGGCACUUAGUAGAGAUAUAUUUGGGAGACAAGAAUCUUCCUGUGUCCCCUCAGUCACUCUUCACUGAAGACCAUUCAGUACGUCUAGUUUUAGAAGUGAAAUUGUCAGGGAGAACCUCUGCCUUGUUGUCAGAAGCAAUCCUUAGCUCGUGGAAGUGCAUUGGGAAGCCACACCAUGGCUCACAGGUGAAAUUAGAUAGAGGGGUAACUGGCAUUUUACGGGAGGAGACUGAGAAAGUGAUGUGAAGUCUAAGGUCACACAGCUGGCAGAGGACCUCCAGUGCACAUGCUGCCUGAUGGAGAUUUAAUUGACAUCCCUCUUACCAAGCUCUGGUUGAGUCCAGAUACUCACAGAUGCCGUGGGAAUGGUGAGGUUUGAGAGCGAGGUUUGGAGGCUGAAAGCUUUUCUGUAUGAUCAUGGAAAUCCAUUACCCUCUGUGCUCUUGGGAAUGCCUGCUCUUCUUCCCUGCAUUGGUCUGAAAAAGAACAAGCAAACAAAAGUUUUUUGCAACUAACUGUAUCCA